rnacentral:ncRNA from 1 species
GUAAAGUUUUAUUCUUGCUUUUUGUUCAAUAUUUAUUUGUUCUAUAUGUAAGUUUAUGCGUGAAUUUUGGCUGGAAUUUUAGAUAGAUCCGGGGUUUGGUUGAUAUUUAGUUCUCAUUAGUUGUUAUUGGUUGGUCAAGUAUUCUUGUAUUUAGCAAUGUAUUUAGUUUCGGUUAAAUUUUGUGCCAGCAGCCGCGGUUAUACCUUGGAGGUAUCUGAAUGUGUUUGGCGUAGGUAGUUAGAUGGGUAAUUUAGUUGAUUUUAUUUUAGGUGUUGUUAGGUGAAAUUUUUAUUUUUGUUAAUUUCUUUUAUUUAUUUGGAAACUAUGAAAUUCUUUUGAUAGACUAGGAUUAGAUACCCUAUUAUUUUGGAUGUUAAUUGGUUGGUUUGCCUGAGUAGUAUUAGUUAUGUUCUUGAAACUUAAAGAAUUUGGCGGUAUCUCAUUCCGUCCAGAGGAAUCUGUCUCGUUAUCGAUAGUCCGCGUUGGACCUUACUUAGGUUGAUUAUGGUUUGUAUACCGCCGUUUCUUGAUUAUCUUUUUAGGGUUAUGUUUAAUUUUCUGGUUUCUUUAUUUUGGUAAAUUUCAGGUCAAGGUGCAGCUUUAUUUCUAAGUGAAUGAUGGAUUACAUUGUAAUUUGUUUUAUGGAUUAUUUAUUUUAAUAUUUAUAUGAAAUUGGAUUUGGUUGUAAUUAUUUGUAGAUUGUUAUUAUGAUAGGUGGUUCUGGGAUAUGCACACAUCGCCCGUCGCUCUCGUUAUUUUGUUAAUGAGAUAAGUCGUAACAAAGUGGUUGUACCGGAAGGUGUGGCUGGAUUGAU